AGAUCUAACCCUAACCCUAACCCUAACCAAUCAAAAUCCAAAAUAUGAACUGAUUGUUCUCCACUAACUCAACUAUGAGCUGUUUAAGUACAGAGAACAAAAGCUCCAAUUUUGCAAAGCAAAAACCUAAACUUUAGUCACUUAAGUCGUCAAGAAACAUCAAAAUACCCAUAAAUUUUUGUAUAUCCAAAAUUGAACUGUCUUACAAAUAAUCUAAAGCAAAGUUGGAACACUACAGAAUUGUAUCCCAGAAAGCCAAACUUUUAAUCAACACGGAGAUACAUCAAAAUACCCAAAAACCAAUCAAAAUGGGAUCUUCAUCUUUUACCCAAUUAACAAGCAACACUAGUUGGAGCUAGCAGAGACAGAGAUUAGAGCAGAAACAGGACAGGACCAAAUUUUAAAAGCAAAACAGAUCGAAGGUCUAAGAAUUAUUGACAACCCAUAAUUCUAGGUGCUAAUCUUAAUUGAAAGGGCUAUAAAAAAAGGGAUCUAAAUGAUUAAACGAAGAACCUAAAAACUGAGAGCAUCAGCGUACCUGAGAAACAGAGAAAAGCAAGCUAAAGGAUAAGAAGCAUUAUAACAAGGGACUUGUUAUUUAGCUUUUGUAAAUAAAAGAGAAUAAAGAUUGUGUUUGUGUAUCUAUUUCUUGCUACAG
rnacentral:misc_RNA from 1 species